UACGGAGGUGGCAAGCGUUGCUCGGAAUCACUGGGCGUAAAGGGCGCGUAGGCGGGGAGGUAAGUCGGGUGUGAAAUCCCUCGGCCCAACCGAGGAACUGCGCCCGAGACUGCUUCUCUUGAGUCCCGGAGAGGAAGAUGGAAUUCCAGGUGUAGCGGUGAAAUGCGUAGAUAUCUGGAGGAAUACCGGUGGCGAAGGCGGCAUCCUGGACCGGCAUUGACGCUGAGGAGCGAAAGCUAGGGGAGCAAACAGGGU
rnacentral:rRNA from 1 species